rnacentral:rRNA from 1 species
AUUGAACGCUGGCGGCAGGCCUAACACAUGCAAGUCGAGCGGAUGAAGAGAGCUUGCUCUCUGAUUUAGCGGCGGACGGGUGAGUAAUGCCUAGGAAUCUGCCUGGUAGUGGGGGAUAACGUUCCGAAAGGAACGCUAAUACCGCAUACGUCCUACGGGAGAAAGCAGGGGACCUUCGGGCCUUGCGCUAUCAGAUGAGCCUAGGUCGGAUUAGCUAGUUGGUGAGGUAAUGGCUCACCAAGGCUACGAUCCGUAACUGGUCUGAGAGGAUGAUCAGUCACACUGGAACUGAGACACGGUCCAGACUCCUACGGGAGGCAGCAGUGGGGAAUAUUGGACAAUGGGCGAAAGCCUGAUCCAGCUAUGCCGCGUGUGUGAAGAAGGUCUUCGGAUUGUAAAGCACCUUAAGUUGGGAGGAAGGGCAGUAAGUUAAUACCUUGCUGUUUUGACGUUACCGACAGAAUAAGCACCGGCUAACUUCGUGCCAGCCGCCGCAGUAAAAC